GAGGAAUAUUGGUCAAUGGACGAAAGUCUGAACCAGCCAUGCCGCGUGAAGGAUGACGGCCCUACGGGUUGUAAACUUCUUUUGUAUAGGAAGAAACCCCUCUACGUGUAGAGGGCUGACGGUACUAUACGAAUAAGCACCGGCUAACUCCGUGCCAGCAGCCGCGGUAAUACGGAGGGUGCAAGCGUUAUCCGGAAUUAUUGGGUUUAAAGGGUGCGUAGGUGGAAAUUUAAGUCAGUGGUGAAAGCCCACAGCUCAACUGUGGAAUUGCCAUUGAUACUGAAUUUCUUGAAUCUGAUUGAAGUAGGCGGAACAUGACAUGUAGCGGUGAAAUGCUUAGAUAUGUCAUAGAACACCGAUAGCGAAGGCAGCUUACUAAGUCAGUAUUGACACUGAGGCACGAAAGCGUGGGGAGCGAAC
rnacentral:rRNA from 1 species